rnacentral:rRNA from 1 species
GUCUACGGCCAUACCACCCUGAACGCGCCCGAUCUCGUCUGAUCUCGGAAGCUAAGCAGGGUCGGGCCUGGUUAGUACUUGGAUGGGAGAAGCAAAGACAUAUUCUUGACU